AGAAGAGGGGGAGUAAGUUAUAUGUAAUUAGAUAGACAGAUAGAUUGACUUGGGAACUUAUGUGUGAAACUGGUAACAGCUGACACCCAGAGUACUAACAGAGUGGCUCUAAGAAUGAACUAAGACAGAAUUAAGGAAAAAGGGAAUAAAGGAGAUAGAUGAUAUGGGGAGCUCAAAGAAUGAACUAGGACACAGAUAAUUAAGAAGAAAGGGAAUAAAGGAGAUAGACAGAUAAGGGGAGCUCAAAGAAUGAACUAGGACACAGAUAAUUAAGAAGAAAGGGAAUAAAGGAGAUAGACAGGUAAGGGGAGCUCAAAGAAUGAACUAGGACACAGAUAAUUAAGAAGAAAGGGAAUAAAGGAGAUAGACAGAUAAGGGGAGCUCAAAGAAUGAACUAGGACACAGAUAAUUAAGAAGAAAGGGAAUAAAGGAGAUAGACAGAUAAGGGGAGCUCAAAGAAUGAACUAGGACACAGAUAAUUAAGAAGAAAGGGAAUAAAGGA